UUGUUGUUCAAGCCGUUUGGUUAUUAUGGUUGUAACAUUGUUGUUCUUUAUUUUUAUUGUCAUAAUAUAGUUUGGUUUGUUGCUGGAAAUUAGGUGUUAAACACCUCAUUAUAUGGUGUUCUUGUUGUGUUUUUGAAUUCGAGAGGGGUCACCAAAAGAGGUCCAUAGUUCCUUGAACUAGUGGACUGUUUUGGUGUUUAUUUUCUUGUGUUCUUGGGCUGUCUUGUAUCACUUGUCAACAGUCCCUCCUUCCAUUACGCAUGAAAAUACAAAUUCCAUCUACUAGUCAGAACACCUGUCCAGUCCCAGUUAUAUGCAAAAUUCUUAAAAUCUCUCUCCAGAUCUUUUACCUUCUGCUGCAUUAAAACAACUAGAUUCAAAUGAUUGUUUCACCCACUCUGCACUCACUGCAUUAAAUACUCCAAUUUCUCCACACUUAACCUACUCUAAUUCUGAAGCAUUAAAUACUACUACUCUUCUUAAUAAUGGACAGAGUUCAAUCACUUCCAGUGCACCAAAAAGUUUGGCUUCACCCUCUACCCCGUCCCUUCAGAAACCAUAAUGAGCAAUCCUUCUCAAAUUCCUCCGGAAUCAAUCAGUCACCCACUGCUCUAUGCAACACAACCUGUUCACCCCUUGCAUCAGCCCUCAACUUGGAUAGAGAGAGUUAUCCAGGUCCAUGCAACAUUAUUUACCAUGGAUAUCAACGGAGUAGAGACACUGGUCAUUCUACAAAAUCAAAACUUCUUAGCCCAGCUAAUCUCGAAAGGGAUGAAAAAAGCAAUAGAAUACUUUGUGAAUCAAAUAAGGCUCUCCAAUGUAAUGAACUCAUUAGUGAAAUCAACUACUCCUCAAUUUAUCCAAACCAUGCAGUCAUUUUGGAAUCUCCAGCAUCUCCUCAAUCAGUUUCCGAACAUGAACGAAAUUGCUCAAACCCCAUUUUUCACUCCACAGGAAGUAGUUAAUGCCUACCCUCUCUUUUUUCCUUGGACGCCAUUUUUUUUACAACAAGGACAAUUUGUGAAUCUAGAGACACCAUCGGCUGCGGUUCCAGUUCGCGGAGAACACAUAAUCAUAUCAUUCAUGGAAAUCUCAAACUUCUAAAAUACGGCUCUUAUGAUCUUUCUCGAAGACGGGGAGAAGAAAUAUAUCCACCUAUGUCCAGUAACUCUUCUGAAGAGCUCAUUCGACCUCAGGCCUGCUAUCAACAGCGCCUUAGGAAGUAUGCAGUAGUGAUGACGUCAACUCUUCAUUGUAGUCAGUUUUUGGCAGCCAAAAGCUCUCUAUAUUCUUUAAACUUUUUCUCUCCAAUGAGUCAAGCUACAUGUUUUAUUGUCUGGAAUAUUAGGGGUGUGAACAAUGACGACCUUACGAGAAAUUUUAGGUAUCUUAUAAAUUCUCACAAUCCUUUCUUUGUUCCUCCUUUAGAGACUAAACUGAGUAACCAUCUUAGCCUUAUGUAUGAUUUCAAUUUUGAUGAUUAUUGGGAAGUCCCAACUUUAGGUCGAUCGGGUGGGAUUAUUCUCUUCUCUGGCAUUCCACCUUUGUUAGUGUUACCUGCAAACGCCAGACGCCCCAGGAAUUACAUGCUAUGAUCAAGGUUAAUGUUGAAGAGCGUAGGGAGUCCAGUGGUGCAACAUAAUUUUCGGGAAGCAAAUAUAGUAGCUGACUUUUUUGUCAAGAAAAGGGUCGCAGCAACUUCAGUCAUCAGCUAACCACCACAUUUUCAAAUCUCUACCGGUGGAAUUAGUUGAACAGAUUCAAAAGAAUAUUAGCGGAAUUCUACUCUCUUGGUUGAUGUAUAAUAACCUCCUCUGUAUAGGCAAACAGUCCGUGUCAACUUCUGUUAGAACUAGUGUUCUCUAAUGCUAGGCAUAUUACUACUACUGUAACCUCUUCUAGUUUAAGCUCUACUACUGUUAGGACUUCCCCAGGAGUUUCUCUACCCUAUGUACUAAUGUCUAACUUACAUAUAGUAAUAUUUUUCUUGUUUUUAA